rnacentral:rRNA from 1 species
GUAACACGUAUGCAACCUGCCCCAAACAGGGGGAUAGCCUCUCGAAAGAGAGAUUAAUACCCCAUAAUAAUGUUGUUAGGCAUCUAAUGACGUUUAAAGCUGAGGCGGUUUGGGAUGGGCAUGCGGUUGAUUAGGUAGUUGGUGAGGUAACGGCUCACCAAGCCAACGAUCAAUAGGGGGUCUGAGAGGAUGUCCCCCCACACUGGUACUGAGACACGGACCAGACUCCUACGGGAGGCAGCAGUAGGGAAUAUUGGACAAUGGGGGCAACCCUGAUCCAGCCAUGCCGCGUGCAGGAAGACUGCCCUAUGGGUUGUAAACUGCUUUUGUACGGGAAGAAACCUCACUACGUGUAGUGAGUUGACGGUACCGUGAGAAUAAGGAUCGGCUAACUUCGUGCCAGCAGCCGCGGUAAUACGAAGGACCCAAGCGUUGUCCGGAUUUACUGGGUUUAAAGGGUGCGUAGGCGGGCUAUUAAGUCAGUGGUGAAAGCCGAUCGCUUAACGAUCGAACUGCCAUUGAAACUGAUAGUCUUGAGUAUGUUUGAGGUUACUGGAAUAUAACAUGUAGCGGUGAAAUGCUUAGAUAUGUUAUAGAACACCAAUUGCGUAGGCAGGUAACUAAGUCAUAACUGACGCUGAGGCA